rnacentral:rRNA from 1 species
CCUACGGGUGGCAGCAGUGGGGAAUAUUGGACAAUGGGGGGAACCCUGAUCCAGCCAUGCCGCGUGUGUGAAGAAGGCCCUCGGGUUGUAAAGCACUUUCAGUGAGGAAGAACGCCUGGUGGUUAAUACCCAUCAGGAAAGACAUCACUCACAGAAGAAGCACCGGCUAACUCCGUGCCAGCAGCCGCGGUAAUACGGAGGGUGCGAGCGUUAAUCGGAAUUACUGGGCGUAAAGCGCGCGUAGGUGGCUUGAUAAGCCGGUUGUGAAAGCCCCGGGCUCAACCUGGGAACGGCAUCCGGAACUGUCAAGCUAGAGUGCAGGAGAGGAAGGUAGAAUUCCCGGUGUAGCGGUGAAAUGCGUAGAGAUCGGGAGGAAUACCAGUGGCGAAGGCGGCCAUCUGGACUGACACUGACACUGAGGUGCGAAAGCGUGGGUAGCAAACAGGAUUAGAUACCCUUGUAGUC